UAGUUUACCGGAACGGUCUGGAAUGGCCGGCGAGAUGGGUGACAGCCCCGUACAGGACGGAAGAACGACAGGACUCGAGUAGGGCGGGACACGUGAAAUCCUGUCUGAACAUGGGGGGACCACCCUCCAAGCCUAAGUACUCCUCAGCGACCGAUAGCGAACAAGUACCGUGAGGGAAAGGUGAAAAGCACCCCGACAAGGGGAGUGAAAUAGAACCUGAAACCGGUUGCCUACAAACAGUGGAAGCCCGCAAGGGUGACUGCGUACCUUUUGUAUAAUGGGUCAACGACUUAGUGUAACAAGCAAGCUUAAGCCGGUAGGUGUAGGCGCAGCGAAAGCGAGUCUGAAUAGGGCGUUCAGUUCGUUGCUUUAGACCCGAAACCGAGUGAUCUAGCCAUGUGCAGGAUGAAGGUGGGGUAACACCCACUGGAGGUCCGAACCAGUGCCCGUUGAAAAGGUCUUGGAUGACGUGUGGCUAGGGGUGAAAGGCCAAUCAAACUCGGAGAUAGCUGGUUCUCCGCGAAAUCUAUUGAGGU
rnacentral:rRNA from 15 species